rnacentral:rRNA from 1 species
GACGUAGGGCGCGAGCGUUGUCCGGAUUUAUUGGGCGUAAAGAGCUCGUAGGCGGCUUGUCGCGUCGACUGUGAAAACUCGGGGCUCAACUCCGAGCUUGCAGUCGAUACGGGCAGGCUAGAGUUCGGUAGGGGAGACUGGAAUUCCUGGUGUAGCGGUGAAAUGCGUAGAUAUCAGGAGGAACACCGAUGGCGAAGGCAGGUCUCUGGGCCGAUACUGACGCUGAGGAGCGAAAGCGUGGGGAGCGAACAGG